rnacentral:rRNA from 1 species
AUUGAACGCUGGCGGCCGGCCUAACACAUGCAAGUCGAACGAGUGGCGGACGGGUGAGUAAUGUCUGGGAAACUGCCCGAUGGAGGGGGAUAACUACUGGCAACGGUAGCUAAUACCGCAUACCAUCGGAUGUGCCCAGAUGGGAUUAGCUAGUAGGUGGGGUACCGGCUCCCCUAGGCGACGAUCCCGAGCUGGGCUGAGAGGAUGACCAGCCACAGUGAAACUGAGACAAGGUCCGGACUCCUACGGGAGGCAGAAGUGGGAAAUAUUGCACAAUGGGCGCAAGCCUGAGACAGCCAUGCCGCAUGUAUGAAGAAGGCCUUCAGGUUGUAAAGUACUUUCAGCGAGGAGGCGUUACUCGCAGAAGAAGCACCGGCUAACUCCGUGCCAGCAGCCGCGGUAAUUC